rnacentral:lncRNA from 10 species
CUCCACUCAAAGCUUGAAGCGUGUUGGGGUCUCCUCUUCUCUGUACAUGCCCGUUUCAGAGUCCAGUCUGGUGGGAGAGGGAUCAGGAUGGGAAAGAAAAGUAGGGUAAGCAGAAACGAUGAAACCUUACAAGAGUGAGAUUAUCAUGUACAAGAGAUCCCAGGAACAUUGACUUGAUGAAAAAGUCACAUCAGAGCACUCAAUUUGGCAGAGGUUUUCUGCCGAAUGUCUACUGACAUUCACUGUCCGAGAUUCUGUACUGGGGGUACACGCGUCCUCUGCCCUAAGGCAUCUUUGAGUCCAAGAGAUACUUUGAGGACUGGAAAUCAUAGGAAACUGCCCAUGAGUUCACACAUAUUUCCAAUGGUGUCCCCAAUUUCAGGGAGUCCACGGAUCACCUAAAGCCAGCCCCUCCAGUUUGGCUAAGAAACUCUAUAUAUCAAGUUUUGUAUCAUAUGUAUUGCUCUUAACUCAGAAAAUUCCACCAUUUAUAGCAGUGGUUUAUUUAUUUAUACCAUUGAAGGAAAUGGUUUAUUUAUGAAUCUAUAUUACGGAUAUUCUAUAAGAUACUGGGUGUACAAAAAGACUAAGUCGAAAAAUCUCAGCUGUGCACAGUGGCUCAUGCUUGUAAUCCCAUCUCUUUGGGUGGCCAAGGGAGGAAGACUGCCUGAGGCCAGCAGUUCAAGACCAGUAUAGGCAACAUAGCAAGAGCCCAUCUCUAAAACAAAACAAAACAAAACAAAACAAAAUUAGCCAGGUGUCGUGGCUGGCACCUGUGUUCCAACAACUUGAGAGACUGAGGUGGCAGGAGGAUUGCUUGAGCCUAGGAGUUAGGGGCUGCAGUGAGCUGUGAUCGUGACACCGCACUCCAGUCUGGGCAACACAGCAAGACCUUGUGUCAAAAAAAUUUUUUUAAUUAAAUAUAAAAGAGUUUCAUGACAUUCAGAGACCAUCCAAAGAACCUGUGGGUUCUGGCCAGGCACAGUGGCUCACGCCUGUAAUCCCAGCGCUUUGGGAGGCCAUAGCAGGUGGAUCGCUUGAGGUCAGGAGUUUAAGAGCAGCCUGGCCAACAUGGUGAAACCCCAUCUCUUCUAAAAAUACAAAAAAUUAGUCAGGCAUGGUGGUGGGUGCCUGUAAUCCCAGCCACUCAGGAGGCGGGGACAGCAGAAUGGCUUAAACUUGGGAGGCGGAGGUUGCAGUGAGCCAAGGUCGCACCAUUGCACUCCAGCCUGGGCAACAAGAGCAAAACUACAUCUCAAAAAAAAAAAACAAAAAAAAAACAAAAAGAACCUGUGGAUGAGUUCCCACAUGGCUUCCUAACGGGCUGCGGCUCUCCUAGGAGUCUCUCGCUCAUGGGAAAGGCAUAAACUGAAUGCGGAAGGAAAUCCCAUUGCUGUGGAAGUCCCAUUGUUAGGAAGCUCUGCUUUUCUGGAGUUCAAAUUUGCAUUCAUGACGCUUUAAACCGUCAGAGCUGGGUGUGUCCUCCUACAACAAAUCACUUUACUCUCUCUCUCUCCUAGUUAACAGGCUUUCAACUAUUAGAACAUCCAUGUUCUGACCUCAUUAAAAUUGCUCUUUUGUGGAAUGAAAAGCUCUGAUUUAACCCGUCUUUAAGCCUGGUAUGCAUAUUCCUCUCUGUUCCGGCCACCUUGUCUAGACACACUACACUGAGGCAGUGCCCAUCUUAGAUGAUGUUGAUACAUUGUCAGAAAAUGGGCAAACCAGGUGCGGUGGCUCACACUUGUAAUCCCAGCACUUUUGGAAGCCGAUGCCGACAGAUAACCAGAGGUGAGGAGGUUGAGAUCAGCCUGGCCAACAUGGUGAAACCUGUCUGUUUUUCUGUAAAAAUACAGAAACAAUGAGCUGGGCGUGGGAGUGCACUUCUGUAAUCCCAGCUACUUGUGGGGCUGAGGCAGGAGAAUCACUUGAACCGGGAAGGUGGAGGUUCCAGUGAGCCGAGAUCACGACACUACACUCCAGCCUGGGCGACAGAGUGAGACUCCGACUCAAAAAAAAAAAAAAAAAAGUGCCAGACAGCCCUGGUUUGGUCUGAUAUGUUCAGAAAAAAGCAAAACAGUCACCUCUCACCUUUUCUUUUCCUGCAAUGAUGCCGUUUAAUACAACAAUGGCUGUAGGUCUGCGGCAGAAAUAUCAUUCAAGUGAAACAGAAGGGCUUUCCUGGCUGGACACAGUGGUCACUCCUGCAAUCCCAACACUUUGGUUGGCUAAGGUGGGAGGAUUUCUUGCGGCCAGGAGUUCGAGGCUGCAGUGAGCUGUGAUCCACCACUGCAUUCCAGGCUGGGCAUCAGAGUGAGACCUGUCUCUAAAAAAACCCUUCACUCCCCAAAUAAAGGGAUUUUCAAAUACCAGCCUUUCAGCAUGAGGAUCACAUGGAGGAACAUUAAGACACAGAUGCUGGGACCCAGCCCUAUUGAUUGUAAUUAAAAAACUGAGGUGAGGCCUGAUUUAGCUCCAUCAUUGGAAUCCAUUCAGAUUUGAAAUUCUCUGAGUUGGACAGUGCAAGAGAGAUCCUAAAGAAAGCAAAGUCACUGUGGACUGAAAUGAGCUGACAAGGUUUUCUGAGCGUGGUGAAAUAUGAUCUGGGCCUCGUUUGGGAGGGCUGUGGCCAGGCCUUGAGUCCGUGGCUCAGUGGGACCUUCUGAAACAGCCUCCAAUCCGUGCCCCCACUUCAUUUGCUAGUGGAUGACCCCCUCCAGCGGCUUUGGUGCUGAUGGGAAUAAGUCAACCUGCAGCGGAAGUUCAGCCCAAGUUUCAGCCCAGCAGCUUCUACACACCUGUCCGUGGUCUGGUCAUGCUGCCAUCUCUGCGGUUCUCUGCGGAGUCGUGGUUUCUGUACCUUGAAGAGAACUUCCCCUCUGGGACCCAGAAACCCAGUGAAUCCUCAGGAAAGAAGGGAAUGAAAUUACUGAAGACAACUCUGUGGCGGGGAGAUGGAAAAGAGGCUCUCUCUCUUUUUUUUUUCCUAAUAUUUUGAGACAGAGUUUCGCUCUUGUCACCCAGGCUGCAGUGCAGUGGCUCCAUCUCGGCUCACUGCAACCUCUGCCUCCCAGGUUCAAGCGAUUCUCCUGCCUCAGCCUCCCGAGUAGCUGAGAUUACAGGCACCCACCACCACUCCCGGCUAAUUUUUGUAUUUUAGGGUUUCGUCAUGUUUGCCGGGCUGGUCUUGAACACCUGACUUCAAAUGAUCCACCCGCCUCUGCCUCUCAAAGUGCUGGGAAUACAGGCAUAAGACACUGCACCCGGCCUGUUUUUGUUUUUUAGAGACAAGGUCUCUGUUGCCUUGGCUGGGGUGCAGUGGUACAAUCAGCUCUCUGUUGCCUCCUGGGCUCAAGCAAUCCUCUUCUCUCAGCCUCCCAAGUAGCUGAGACUACAGGUGCAUGCCUGUAGUAGAUAUAGCAUCUUGCUCUGUUGCCCAGACUGGUCUUGAACUCUUGGUCACAAGCGAUCCUCUUGCCUUGGCCUCUCAAAGUGCUGGAAUUACACGCGUGAGCCAUUGAGCCCAACCAGAUAAGAUGAUCUUUAAGGGCCCUUCCCAUGGUACCAUAUCCAAGUCAGCGAGACUGUGGCUAUAGCAAGUUUAACAUAACCAGAUACGCUAGUAUUAUGGGCUGCAUGGUGUGCCCCCCACCCCUAAUUCAUGUAUUGAAGCCAUGACCCUCCAGACCUUAGAGGUGACCUUAUUGGAACCAGAGUCUUUACAGAGGUGAUCAAGUUAAAAUGAGGUCACUAGAGGCCAGGCACGGUGGCUCACACCUGUAAUGCCAGCACUUCGGGAGGCCGAGGCAGGCAGAUAAUGAGCCCAAGAGACCGAGACCAUGAUGUCCAACAUGGUGAAACCCUGUCUCUACUAAAAAUACAAAAAUUAGCCAGGCGUGGUGGUGUGGGCCUGUAGUCCCAGCUACUCAGGAGGCUGAGGCAAGAGAAUCGCUUGAACCCGGAAGGCAGAGAUUACAGUCAGCCAAGAUCAUGCCACUACACUCCAGCCUGGGUGACAGAGUGAGACUCUAUCUCAAAAAAAUAAAAAUUAAAAAACUAAAAACCUACAGUACCGCCUUUUACAUAAUGCAAUGGUUUGGUAAGCACAUGCACCCCAGGGAGGUAGUGGCAGAUUCAGUCAACCUUCCCAGCAGCGUGGAGACGCAGUCAGGCAUAGCAGGUGUUGAUGUGGUUUGAACCCACAGCUUGGCUCAAAUCCACACUCCCCUACUUAGUACCGAGUGAAGCCACUUACCCUCUAAGUGCCUUACUUUUCUUUUCUUUUCUUUUUUCUUUUUUCGAGACAGAGUCUCGCUCUGUCACCCAGGCUGGAGUGCAGUGGCAUGAUCUUGGCUCACUGCAAACUUCGCCUUCCAGGUUCAAGCAAUUCUCCUGCCUCAGCCUCCCAAGUAGCUGGGAUUACAGGCGCCCACCACCAUGCCGGGCUAAUAUUUGUAUUUUUGAUAGAGAUGGGGUUUCACCGUAUUGCCCAGGCUGGUCUCGAACUCCUGACCUCAAGUGAUCUGUCUGCCUCGGCCUCCCAAAGUACUAGGAUUAGAGGCGUGAGCCACCACACCUGGCCACUUUUCUUAUCUAUAUUUGUUAUGUGGAUGACUUGUGUUAACGCAAAUAAGAUGCUGCUCGUCAUCUUUAAAGAAAAUAGGUGGCAACCUGUUAUAGCAAGUCCUGUUUUUAUUUGUACUUAUGAGGCUUUAGUUAAACGCUAAGAAUUAAAAUGCACAUAAUAAUAGACUUUACCUCACAAACUGGCUUCAAUUAUUCGAUGAGACUUAUAUGUAUUACUUAAAUGAGGUUAAAUUUAACCUUUAAAAAAUGAUUUAUUGUGGCUGGGCACAGUGGCUCACACCUGUAAUCCCAGCACUUUGGGAGGCCAAGGCAGACGGAUCACUUGAGGCCAGGAGUUGAAGACCAGCCUGACCAACACGGCAAAACCCCAUCUCCGCUAAAAAUACAAAAAUUAGCCAGGCAUGGUGGUGCACACCUGUAAUCCUAGCUACUCAGGAGGCUGAGACACAAGAAUCGCUUGAACCCGGGAGGCAGAGGUUGCAAGGAGGUGAGAUCACACCACUGCACUCCAGCCUGGGCAAUAGAGUGAGGCUCUGCCUUAAAACAAAGAAAAAUGAUUUUGGGGGAUGAUGGGGUGUCACUAUGUUGACCAGGCUUGUCUCAAACUCCUUGCCUCAAGCAAUCCACCCACCUCAGCCUCCCAAGUAGCUGGAACUACAGGCGCAUGCCACCACGCCUGGCUAAUUGUGUGUGUGUGUGUGUGUGUGUGUGUGUGUGUGUGUGUGUGUGUGUGUGUGUGUGUAGAAACAAGGUCUUACUGUGUUGUUUAAGCUGCUCUCAAACUCCUGGCUGGGCUCAAGUGAUCCUCCCACCUUGGCCUCCCAAAGCAUUGGAAUUACAGGUGUGAGCCACCUCACUGAGCCCUCCACCUUUCAGCUGAACGCAGAAAAGUACAAUCUUUUAACCCAAAGCGUUCCUCACACUUAGGGUCAGGAAGAGCCCUUCAUGCCCUGGAGGCAACUACUAACCCUCUGCUAAACACUCUGACUCUGGGUGUGAGAAACACACCUACUGUGCCCCACAUAUUUUUCCAAAUACAACUUAAUUUAGCCUUCACGACAACCCUGGAGUGAAGGAUCAUUAACUUUAUUUCAUAGAUGUGGAAACUGAGACUCAGAGGCAGGAAAUGACCUCCUUCUGGAGGCUGCAAAUUCUUUGAUGCUCCUUUGAUCAACAGGUGGGAGCUGGCCAGAGGUGGUGGCUCACACCUAUAAUCCCAGCACUUUGGGAGGCCAAGGUGGGAGGAUUGACUGAGGCCAGGAGUUUGAAACUAGCCUGGGCAACAUAGCAAGACCUCAUCUCUACAAAAAAUACACAAAUUAGCAGGGUGUGGUGGUGCACACCUGUAGUCGCAGCCACUCGGGAGGCUGAAGUGGUAGCAUUGCUUGAGCCCAGGAGGUUGAGGCUGGAGUGAGCCAUGAUCAAGCCACUGCACUCCAGCCGAGGAGAUGGAGAUAGACCCUGUCUCAAACAACAACAAAAAAAUAGGUGAGGAUCAGCCAGGCAUGGUGGCUCACGCCUGUAAUCCUAGAACUUUGGGAGGCCAAGGUGGGAGGAUUGCUUGAGGCCAGGACUUCAAGACCAGCCUGGGCAGCCUAGCAAGAUCCCAUCCCUUAAAAAAAAGUUUUUAGGCUGGGCAUGGUCACUCAUGCCUGUAAUCCUAGCACUUUGGGAGGCCAAGGCAGGCGGGUUGCCUGAGCUGAGGAGUUUGAGACCAGCCUGGGCAACAUGGUGAAAUCCUGUCUCUACUAAAAUACAAAAAAUUAGCCAGGUGUGGUGUUGGGCACCUGUAAUCCCAGGUACUCAGGAGGCUGAGGCAGGAGAAUUGCUUGAACCCAGGAGGCAGAGGUUGCAGUGAGCCGAGAGCGCGCCACUCCACUCCAGCCUGGACAACAGAGCGAGACUCCGUCUCAAAAAAAAAAUGUUUUUAAUUAGCCAGCUGUGAUGAUGCAUGCCCAUGUCCCAGCUACUUGGGAGGCUGAAGCAGGAGGAUUGCUUGAUCCUGGGAGGUCAAGGCUGCAGUGAGCUAUGAUUGCGCCCCUGCACUCCAGCCUGGGCAGCGGAGGGAGACCCUGUCUGAAAAUAAAAAAAGAGGUGGGGGCCUAUGACCCCCCCUUUAAUUUUGGCCCAACCUUAGUAACAGGAUAGUCAUUGAGUAGGGCAAAAGUGAUGUUAUGAUGUUUUUCAG